GGUGUCCUGGCUAGUUGUAUUAAUAAUCAGUUCGUUUAAAUUUUAUGUGCACAAUAAGGGAAAAUGAAAUUCUUAGCUGUUCCAUUUUGCAGCAUGUUGCAGAUUGACUCUGUGUGAGACUCAACACCAGUCAGGAAGUCACAACAAUUCAAUUGUGGCAACUGCAAAUUCAUUCAGAGACAAUGGCAACUGGAAAUUCAUUUAGAGACAUAAAAACCAUAUCUUAUUCAAUCUUUCCUAAAGGUACUGAACAAACUAUGAAAUGAAAAGUAGCUAUUGCAAAUGAGAAACUUCAAACUGCACAAAAGUAAUAACUAUUGCAGUUAAAAACUUAAAAAUUGGGUCUUCUCCCACUUGGUUUGCAGUAUCUCCAGCUGUUGUUCUAUCUGGAUUUAGUGUGCUGGCAUCUUUGUUAUCAUGGCACUCAAUAGGUUGCUCUUUUCCUCCACUUUUCCAUGAUGGUCAUGUUCAGCUCCAGCCGUCGAGUGAUGUGCUUUCACUAAUGUUUGCCACCAUCUAUCUAUGCUUCGACUGGUGCGGCAAGAGAAAGCAAAACCUUUUUAGCACGCUGGUGCUUCCCAUUGAUCCUUCAUCAUAAAGCCUGUUUAUCACAAAUGAAACGAACAGAAAAUGCAGAAAGAAACAAGGAAAAAACUACUAGGACAGAAAAUAAUAAAUUCCCAUCCACUUAAAUGCUCCCACCAUGCAACUACUGAAGUAUGAAGAUUCAUUGCUUUAUAAAAGAUAGAUUGAGCAUAGACUUGAAAAGCAUACCAAUUAACCUGAAGCACCUGAAGCAUCGUGAUGCCUAAACAAAUUGAAAACAGGUUGUCUAGCACAAGCAAAGAAAUCUGCACCAAAUCAUAUUGGCCACAGACAACUAUACUAUGUAUGGAACCUAAAAUCCAGAUAAUUUCUGUUCCAAAACUUAAUAUUUCAGAUUUCAGAUACGUAGCUGCAAAAUUAAGCAAUACGACAUUAAAAGUGCUGAAUCAAAGAUAGGGCCAGGAAGGGGAGGGCAUGUACCUUGAGCAAGGAGAGCCUGUAACUGUAAGCAGCGAGUACACAGAGACUUGAAGAACGGGUUAGAAAACGCAC
rnacentral:lncRNA from 1 species